ensembl:lncRNA
UAAUUGACAUUUGCUUUGAUAUAUAUCUGAUGUAUAUUUAUCUAAUGUAAUGACGUUUAGACAUUUUUAUAUGAGACUUUAUCUACAUGCUUUCAGGGAUGCUGUACGUGUGUGUGUGUGUGUGUGUGUGUGUGUGUGUGUGUGUGUGUGUGUGUGUGUGUGUGUGUGCUGGGGCUGUUGAGUGACGUGUUCAGGCUGUGAACAGCAGCACCUGUGUGUCGGUGUGGGAUAAAUGAGCAGUGCUGUGAUACUCUCCUGGAUCUGAUCUCUCCGCUGGGACCCUCAGGACUGACGCAGUGACCCCGCUUAAGCCACCAGCUUUCUGUCAGGUUUCUAUGAGUCUGUGCUUUUGGACUUUGAUUUCUAAUAGUCUGAAAGCAUUUUUCUGUGAGUCCAACCAUCUUGAAACUGGUGUCUGGCAACUGUGCAGGCAUUUGAGCAGGUCCAGAGAAGGAGCCAGAAAAUGGAGAGGCCGAGCAACAUCACUGACCAUAUACAGAGAGAGCUGUGAAAUCCCAUCAUGAAUAUUUAUGAAGACGUGACCCGGGGCAGGAUGUGGGGCGAGUACUAUCCCAGCAUGCCCUGCUGUGAGAGAAGCUGAUCAGAACAUCUUUAUUCUGUAAGUACACUAUACUGAUAGCACAGCAUUUCAUUUGACUGUUUAUGACUGAUUCUGUAAAUCCUUAAAGUGGGGAUGUCAAAUGGUGAUACUAUGGUACUUUGGUAUAUAGACCACAUGUGAUCACCACAUUCAGAAGCAUGUCAUCAGUUAAAAUCUUUUUUAUUAACCUGCAGCAUUAUAUUUAAGUUAAUCAUAAAUAUACCCACAGUAUUAUGAAAUUUUACUUUUUCAUAAAUAUUAUGAAUGUUGCAAUAUUAACAAUUGUAAAUAUUCUUUUUUUAUUUUAUUAUUUAAAGUCUUAGUUUUUGUUUUACUUACAUCAAUACUAUUAAGUUAUUGUAAAUACCACCGUAUUACCACGACUAUGUCAGUAUGUUGUACUGUUU